UAGGGAAUUUUCGUCAAUGGGCGCAAGCCUGAACGAGCAAUGCCGCGUGAGUGAGGAAGGCCCUUCGGGUCGUAAAGCUCUGUUGCGNGGGAAAAGGAACGG
rnacentral:rRNA from 1 species